rnacentral:rRNA from 1 species
CCUACGGGAGGCUGCAGUGGGGAAUAUUGGACAAUGGGCGAAAGCCUGAUCCAGCCAUGCCGCGUGUGUGAAGAAGGCCUUCGGGUUGUAAAGCACUUUCAGUGGGGAAGAAAGCCUUGGGGCUAAUACCCUCGAGGAAGGACAUCACCCACAGAAGAAGCACCGGCUAACUCCGUGCCAGCAGCCGCGGUAAUACUGAGGGUGCGAGCGUUAAUCGGAAUUACUGGGCGUAAAGCGCGCGUAGGCGGUCUGAUAAGCCGGUUGUGAAAGCCCCGGGCUCAACCUGGGAACGGCAUCCGGAACUGUCAGGCUAGAGUGCAGGAGAGGAAGGUAGAAUUCCCGGUGUAGCGGUGAAAUGCGUAGAGAUCGGGAGGAAUACCAGUGGCGAAGGCGGCCUUCUGGACUGACACUGACGCUGAGGUGCGAAAGCGUGGGUAGCAAACAGGAUUAGAUACCCUGGUAGUC